CAUAUAGUCCCUUCGUCUGGAACUACUUGUCACAAAAAUGGAUAAAAAGGGUGUAUCUGGAACUAAAAUACGUCUAGAUACAUCCAUGUCUUCGAUAAGUAAUUCCAGGCAGAGGGAGUACCAU
rfam:Triticum aestivum genome assembly, contig: Triticum_aestivum_CS42_TGACv1_scaffold_147260_2BS